UCUCAUUCUUGCAGUCUGAAUGCCUCGAGGACCGUGAGGCCUGUAGCACAACCAGACUGAAGCCCAGCAUGAAAUUGGAGGUUUCCUGGAGAUCCUGGCCUGCUGCAGGGACCUCACAAAUAACUUGGCAUCGGUAGUGAUCUGUGUCCUCAGCUGCACCUUUCCAACGUGAUCACCCCUUUCUGGUUCCAAGCAUCAAUCAAUCUCUCAUCCUGCUGAAUCCACCUCAGCUUGGCAACUUCCUGUCACAGCCUGGUCAGCUGCUCCAAAAGAUGACCAAGUUGGGCACACACCUGCACCCACAACACCCCUCACCUACCUCAGGCCCUUGGGUGACCUCCAGAUUCCAGAGGCUGAAUGGCAAGAAUGUGCUUGAAGGUGUAGCACAGGAACUGCAAGUCAGCUGGAUGCAGAAGGACCAUUAGCUCUCAAGACUGCUUUAAGGUCAGUUUCAGGGCUUCAGUUCUCCCUGGUCAUGCUGUCACUCAUGGUAAAGAUCAGAUUUAUGACCUUUGUCCAUUGCUUUAAGGCCACAGAAGUGCACAGGCAUGACUCUACUCCGAUUAUGUUUUUUUUUUUCUUGGCUCCAAAAUACUGUGUUUUUCACUGUUUUUCUCCCACCUCUCCUGUGCUGACUGGCAGGUGGCUGCCACGCUUACCAUGUUCUGCUAUUGUUACAGACCCUAUGUGAUCACACUCAAAGUAUUUCAUAGUUUUCAUUGCCUCCCCCGCGACAGAACAGGAGGUCAUUAUUUGGAGGACUGAGGACAGUCAGGAUCCUGCCCGCUCCCUGACCUUUCAGAUAACUGGUUAUUCAUGCAAAUAUUGCAGAAAUGCUGUUCUGGAGAGGACAAAACAUUCUUACUGGAAUAUCG
ensembl:lncRNA